rnacentral:lncRNA from 1 species
GAGAGGAAUAAACACGUACUGCGCCGUGCUGCGUCGUAGGCCGGGCCUACUCAGAAUUGACGGGGAAUUACUGUACAAGAUAAAAAACAAUAUUUAACAGAUGAGGUCAGUUCUCCCAUCAUCCUCAUGGUAGCAUCAGCAUGAGAAGUCGGCAGAAUUCUUUUCGCUUGACGGGUUACUUGGGGUUUCUAGUGUGUGUGUGUGUGUGUGUGUGUGUGUGUGUGUGUGUGUGUGUGUGUGUGUGUGUGUGUGUGUGUAUACAUCUUGGGUUUAUACCCCUGCCAGUGCUGUGCCUUUGUUUUGACUUCAGGCUGCUUAUUUUGAUAUCUGGCCAGGAGGCCUGCUAAUUUUGAGAAGAAUUCAGUGGUAUAUUUGUAGAAUGGGAGCAGCUCUCUGCUCUCUUUCCUUUCCUAUUGGACUCUGAGAGACACCCAUUUUUCCCACUGGACUGUGAGAGACCCCAAUGUUUCCCACUGGACUUUGAAAGACCCCCAUGUUUCCCGCAGGACUGUGAGAGAUCCUCCUGUUUCGCCCAAGGUGGUUUGUGGCUUGACAAGGAGAAAGUCCAAGGAUGUAAAAAAAUAUAUAUAAAAAACAUUUGAAAAAGAAGAGAGAGAGAAUGAAAGAAAGAAAGAAAGAAAGAAAGAAAGAAAGAAAGAAAGAAAGAAAGAAAGAAAGAAAGAAAGAAAGAAAGAAAGAAAGAAAGAAAGAAAGAAAGAAAGAAAAUGAAAUAAAGAAAGAAAGGGGGACACAGAGUUGGAGUUAGAUACAAUUAUUACGAUAAUCAGGAUACAUUACAGAUACUUACCCUUUGUUAGCUAAUAACUCCAGAAGACCACAGAAAGCCUCAGAUGGCUACUGACCGUCGGCCAGAAGAGCGGGAAGAUAGGAUUGACACAAACUGACUGAAACCUUUACUGAAUUCAUGGUGAGUGAAGGACAGUACUAUGGAUUUUUUUUGCUUUUAUUUAUUUCCUCAAGUUUUUUUUCUGAUCUGCUAUUUUGCCUCCGGAUUUACAGCCUGGUGUAGAGUGCAACCUGAAAACCACUCAGCGGAAUAAGUUCAUUACUCACUCAAUUGUUGGAAAGGCAUGGACUGCUGGAUGCUGAUUAAUAUGAAUCGAGUCAAAUUGCAUUUGAGAGAUGAAACAACGUGGGCGCUGGUCUACAAUUUAAAGAGUUGUCAAGUGGAGUUGAGAAUGACCUGAUAGCCUACCGACGCAGGAGAGAGGCUUAUGAGUGAAUCCUCCACUAGUGGAACUGCCUAAGAAAACUUCUGCUCAAUUGAGUUGGUGUGACAUCAUCACAGAUUCAGGCAAAACACACAGCACCACGUCUAGCGACAGAAUUGGAUAAGCAGGGUGCUAUUUCUUAUUCCAGAGACCACAUGGGGUCGAGUGUGUGUGUGUGUAUGUGCGCGUGUUCGUGUGUGUGUGUGCGUGUGCAUGUGUGUGUGACCCUGUGCAUGUAUGAGGAUCCAGUCAGAGCCUGAACCUAAUUGAGUUGGGUUAUUGAUAUGGGAGUUUAUUUAGAAUUGACGUGUUGGCUGACAACGUCACGAAAAUGAUGUGCUCCCAUCGAUGGGGGAGGAAGCAUUGCUUUGUUAUGAUUUUGAACGGUG